CCUACGUGUGGCAGCAGUGGGGAAUAUUGCACAAUGGGGGAAACCCUGAUGCAGCGACGCCGCGUGAGUGAGGAAGUAUUUCGGUAUUUAAAGCUCUAUCAGCAGGGAAGAAAAUGACGGUACCUGACUAAGAAGCCCCGGCUAACUACGUGCCAGCAGCCGCGGUAAUACGUCGGGGGCAAGCGUUAUCCGGAUUUACUGGGUGGAAAGGGAGCGUAGACGGCUAAUCAAGUCAGAAGUGAAAACCCAGGGCUCAACUUUGGGACUGCUUUUGAAACUGAGUAGCUAGAGUGCAGGAGAGGUAAGCGGAAGUCCGAGUGUAGCGGUGAAAUGCGUAGAUAUCAGGAGGAACACCGGCGGCGAAGGCGGCCUGCUGGACCGCGACUGACGUUGAGGCUCGAAAGCGUGGGGAGCGAACAGGAUUAGAUACCCCUGUAGUC
rnacentral:rRNA from 1 species